UCUCCGAUGAGUCCAGUGGUUGACUUGCUGAAGCAGAACGUCCUCUGCGUUAUGGAAGUUGAUAUGACAUAAAUGCUUUUUAGUAUCAACUUAUUGGUAUAGUGCUGCCACUUGAGUCUUGCCCUGCUCCUGCCCUAGUUAUUAGUUAAGUAGUUAACAGUAGCAUGGGGACUUGCAGAACCAUGCACGUGGGUACCUCUCAACGUUUUGGAACCAUGCCGGGUUGUCUACCUGGCCUAUGUGGACUGAACUGAAGCCGGACACGCCAAUGUCUGCGCACAUGGCAGACGCUGCCCGAAUUACUUGAUUACAAGGAGACUUAACCUGGAAAGGUGUGCAACAGAACCAAGGAUGGUGUGGAGGCAUCUGAAAAGAUUUGGGAGACUACUCCCUCAUGGCCCGUGGCUGAACCAUACACACAUGG